AGUGAACGCUGGCGGUAGGCCUAACACAUGCAAGUCGAACGGCAGCACAGUAAGAGCUUGCUCUUACGGGUGGCGAGUGGCGGACGGGUGAGGAAUACAUCGGAAUCUACUUUUUCGUGGGGGAUAACGUAGGGAAACUUACGCUAAUACCGCAUACGACCUACGGGUGAAAGCAGGGGAUCUUCGGACCUUGCGCGAUUGGAUGAGCCGAUGUCGGAUUAGCUAGUUGGCGGGGUAAAGGCCCACCAAGGCGACGAUCCGUAGCUGGUCUGAGAGGAUGAUCAGCCACACUGGAACUGAGACACGGUCCAGACUCCUACGGGAGGCAGCAGUGGGGAAUAUUGGACAAUGGGCGCAAGCCUGAUCCAGCCAUACCGCGUGGGUGAAGAAGGCCUUCGGGUUGUAAAGCCCUUUUGUCGGGAAAGAAAAGCAGCAGGUUAAUACCCCGCUGUUCUGACGGUACCCAAAGAAUAAGCACCGGCUAACUUCGUG
rnacentral:rRNA from 1 species